AACGAACGCUGGCGGCAUGCCUAACACAUGCAAGUCGAACGAGACCUUCGGGUCUAGUGGCGCACGGGGGCGUAACGCGUGGGAACCUGCCCUUAGGCUCGGAAUACCUCCCCGAAAGGGGUGCUAAUACCGGAUAAUGUCUUCGGACCAAAGAUUUAUCGCCUUUGGAUGGGCCCGCGUUGGAUUAGCUAGUUGGUAGGGUAAAAGCCUACCAAGGCGACGAUCCAUAGCUGGUCUGAGAGGAUGAUCAGCCACACUGGGACUGAGACACGGCCCAGACUCCUACGGGAGGGAGCAGUGGGGAAUAUUGGACAAUGGGGGAAAGCCUGAUCCAGCAAUGCCGGGUGAGUGAUGAAGGCGGUAGGGUUGUAAAGCUCUUUUACCCGGGACGAUAAUGACGGUACCGGGAGAAUAAGCACCGGCUAACUACGUG
rnacentral:rRNA from 1 species